rnacentral:rRNA from 1 species
UACGGAGGGUGCGAGCGUUGUCCGGAAUCAUUGGGCGUAAAGGGCGCGUAGGUGGCGGGACAAGCGUGCGGUGAAAGCUCGGGGCUCAACCCCGCGUCGGCCGUGCGAACUGUUUUGCUUGAGCACUGUAGAGGCAGGCGGAAUUCCGGGUGUAGCGGUGGAAUGCGUAGAGAUCCGGAAGAACACCGGUGGCGAAGGCGGCCUGCUGGGCAGUAGCUGACACUGAGGCGCGACAGCGUGGGGAGCAAACAGGAUAGAAACCCCAG